rnacentral:snRNA from 1 species
AGCUUUGCGCAGUGGCAGUAUCGUAGCCAAUGAGGUUAAUCCGAGGCGCGAUUAUUGCUAAUUGUUGUUGUAACAUUGAGGAGUGCUGAGAUGUUAUGGUGUUAAGAAACAGAGAAUUGCAGCUGUAAAUCAUAAAUUUAAGGAAAUUACAAUGAAG